rnacentral:pre_miRNA from 1 species
AAUAAUGUUUAAACUGAGUCUGUGAACAAUCAAGAUUUGAUAAACACUAUUGAAAUUGAAAUUUUUUUCUAAUGGUGUUUAUCAAAUCUUAAUUGUUCACAGACCCAGUUUAAACAUCAUA